ACAACAGGGAUUGCCUCAGUAACGGCGAGUGAAGCGGCAACAGCUCAAAUUUGAAAUCUCCUUCGGGCGAGUUGUAAUUUGUAGAGGAUGUUUCGGGCACCGCUCCGGGUUAAAUUUCUUGGAACAGAAUGUCAAAGAGGGUGAGAGUCCCGUCUUGGCCCGCGGUAGGACCCAUGUGAAACUCCUUCGACGAGUCGAGUUGUUUGGGAAUGCAGCUCAAAAUGGGUGGUAAAUUUCAUCUAAAGCUAAAUAUUGGCCAGAGACCGAUAGCGCACAAGUAGAGUGAUCGAAAGAUGAAAAGCACUUUGAAAAGAGAGUUAAACAGUAUGUGAAAUUGUUGAAAGGGAAGCGCUUGCAACCAGACUCGAGCGCGGCGGUUCCCCCUUGCUUCUGCUUGGGCUACUCCGUCAUGACCGGGCCAACAUCAGUUCUGGGGGCCGGUAAAAGGUCCGGGGAAUGUAUCCACUCCUUCGGGUGUGGACUUAUAGCCUCGGGCGUCAUGCGGCCUCCCGGGACUGAGGAACGCGCUUCGGCGAGGAUGUUGGCGUAAUGGUUGUAAGCGACCCGU
rnacentral:rRNA from 1 species